rnacentral:rRNA from 1 species
CUUGCGUCACAUUAKUUAGUUGGUGGGGUAAAGGCCUACCAAGACUAUGAUGUGUAKCCGGGCUGAGAGGUUGAACGGCCACAUUGGGACUGAGACACGGCCCAAACUCCUACGGGAGGCAGCAGUAGGGAAUUUUCGGCAAUGGAGGAAACUCUGACCGAGCAACGCCGCGUGAACGAUGAAGUAUUUCGGUACGUAAAGUUCUUUUAUUAGGGAAGAAUAAAUGAUGGAAAAAUCAUUCUGACGGUACCUAAUGAAUAAGCCCCGGCUAACUAUGUGCCAGCAGCCGCGGUAAUACAUAGGGGGCAAGCGUUAUCCGGAAUUAUUGGGCGUAAAGGGUGCGUAGGCGGUUAAAUAAGUUUAUGGUCUAAGUGCAAUGCUCAACAUUGUGAUGCUAUAAAAACUGUUUAGCUAGAGUAAGAUAGAGGCAAGUGGAAUUCCAUGUGUAGUGGUAAAAUGCGUAAAUAUAUGGAGGAACACCAGUAGCGAAGGCGGCUUGCUGGGUCUUUACUGACGCUGAGGCACGAAAGCGUGGGGAGCAAACAGGAUUAGAUACCCUGGUAGUCCACGCCGUAAACGAUGAGUACUAAACGUUGGGUAAAACCAGUGUUGAAGUUAACACAUUAAGUACUCCGCCUGAGUAGUACGUACGCAAGUAUGAAACUUAAAGGAAUUGACGGGACUCCGCACAAGCGGUGGAUCAUGUUGUUUAAUUCGAAGGUACCCGAAAAACCUCACCAGGUCUUGACAUGCUUCUGCAAAGCUGUAGAAACACAGUGGAGGUUAUCAGUUGCACAGGUGGUGCAUGGUUGUCGUCAGCUCGUGUCGUGAGAUGUUGGGUUAAGUCCCGCAACGAGCGCAACCCUUAUUGUUAGUUACCAGCACGUAAUGGUGGGGACUUUAGCAAGACUGCCAGUGAUAAAUUGGAGGAAGGUGGGGACGACGUCAAAUCAUCAUGCCCCUUAUGACCUGGGCUACAAACGUGAUACAAUGGCUGUUACAAAGGGUAGCUGAAGCGCAAGUUUUUGGCGAAUCUCAAAAAAACAGUCUCAGUUCGGAUUGAAGUYUGCAACUCGACUUCAUGAAGUUGGAAUCGCUAGU